GCAUGAUCAAGCACCCAAAUACCAUGAACUAUGUCACCUGUGUCACCUUCAUCAAAUAACCUUUUGAGUGACCUUACAUGUGGUGCAGACAAUACAGCACACCGAGUGUCACAAGCUCACAAGAUGCC